AUUUUUUUACACUUUAAAAUUUUGAAUUGAAAAUUUUUCCAAUAUAUAUAAAAGAAAAAAUAUCUAGGGCACAUCUGAACAAAUUCCAAUAUCUUGAAUCUUGAAGAAGAUAGCCAAUAAAAUAUAAUCAAACUUUACCCCACCACUAAAAUCUAGUAUUUUAUUAUCCCCAAAUCAAAGUUAGUCAUUGAUAGUGUAGAAAUUGAAACAAUCUUCCUUUAUUGGUGGGGUAUUAGCACCAAUAUUUCUCAAAUCAAGAUUCAAGAACUAUGAUGGCCCAAAUUCAAUUAACCGUAGAAUAGGGGACCAAACACACAAUAAAAGUAAAAAAAAAAAAAAAAAGACGAUGAUGGUUAACGCAGCAGCUAUGCAAGGAAUUAUGUCCAAUGAAAGCCUAUCAAUCUUUUUAAUUUUUAAUUUUCCUUUUUAUUAUAUAUAUUGAUAUUGCAAUUCAUUGGAGUGAAAUCAAAAGCAAAAUUGAUUCGACAACCUCAACAUCAUAUGACUGAAAUCUGAAACUGCUUGAGUGUAUGGCCAGGAUCAUUGUAUUGAUUACUUGCAGUACGGGGAUGCUCCAGGAUUCUGCUGUGCCGUGUCCCACGUUCAGAUACCUUUCUUGUCAACUUGCAAAUCCACUGCUCCAUAACGCCAAUCAAAGAGGAAAGGAAAAGACACACACGCACAUAUAUACAUACACACAUACCCAAACAUAUUUUAUGAGUAUUUUUAUUAUAUAUUUGGGAAAGAAACAAACGAUCGAACCCUA
rnacentral:lncRNA from 1 species